rnacentral:rRNA from 1 species
UACGGAGGGAGGCUAGCGUUGUUCGGAAUUACUGGGCGUAAAGCGCGCGUAGGCGGACCUGCAAGUCGGGGGUGAAAGCCCGAGGCUCAACCUCGGAACUGCCUUCGAUACUGCGGGUCUCGAGUCCGGGAGAGGUGAGUGGAAUUCCUAGUGUAGAGGUGAAAUUCGUAGAUAUUAGGAAGAACACCAGUGGCGAAGGCGGCUCACUGGCCCGGUACUGACGCGUGAGGCGCGAAAGCGUGGGGAGCAAACAGG